AGUGAACGCUGGCGGUAGGCCUAACACAUGCAAGUCGAACGGCAGCACAGUAAGCGCUUGCUCUUACGGUUGGCGAGUGGCGGACGGGUGAGGCAUACAUCGGAAUCUACUUUUUCGUGGGGGAUAACGUAGGGAAACUUACGCUACUACCUCAUACGACCUACGGGUGAAAUCAGGGGAUCUUCGGACCUUGCGCGAUUGAAUGAGCCGAUGUCGGAUUAGCUAGUUGGCGGGGUAAAGGCCCACCAAGGCGACGAUCCGUAGCUGGUCUGAGAGGAUGAUCAGCCACACUGGAACUGAGACACGGUCCAGACUCCUACGGGAGGCAGCAGUGGGGAAUAUUGGACAAUGGGCGCAAGCCUGAUCCAGCCAUACCGCGUGGGUGAAGAAGGCCUUCGGGUUGUAAAGCCCUUUUGUUGGGAAAGAAAAGCAGCAGGUUAAUACCCCGCUGUUCUGACGGUACCCAAAGAAUAAGCACCGGCUAACUUCGUG
rnacentral:rRNA from 1 species